UACGUAGGGGGCAAGCGUUGUCCGGAUUUAUUGGGCGUAAAGAGCGUGUAGGCGGCUGGGUAGGUCCGUUGUGAAAACUCGAGGCUCAACCUCGAGACGCCGAUGGAAACCCUCCAGCUAGAGUCCGGAAGAGGAGAGUGGAAUUCCCGGUGUAGCGGUGAAAUGCGCAGAUAUCGGGAAGAACACCCGUGGCGAAGGCGGCUCUCUGGGACGGUACUGACGCUGAGACGCGAAAGCGUGGGGAGCAAACAGG
rnacentral:rRNA from 1 species